GGCGACGCUAGUCUCAGUACUUGACCCGUCGCUGCUAUCACAACCGCUGCUAGUAACGGACCUGACGAUUCGUCAAUAAACAUUGCGAAAAUAUUGGACGACUUUCGGAUGAAUUUUGUUGAAGACACUUAAAAAUCGAAUAAUAAAUUUGAAUUGUGGAAAAUGAUUUGCGUCAAACACGCGCCGCGCGUAUGAUCGUAAAUUUGACCUUGGGAGUCAUACGCGCACUCUUAUCGCGAGAAGAAAAAACGUGACGUGCUUCAAUUCUGCUAUAGCGUGUCGUGCAUAUUUUUUAUCGAAUUUAUCGAGCCAUCGAGUAUUAUAAGCACUUUUUUCCAGUGGAGCUCGAAUCUUGUUAUCGCAUGCAUGUGAGACUGGGUAAAAAAUGUAUGGAAUUGAUUCGAUAUAGAGUUGAACGAAUAAAAAUAAAAAGAGAAAAAAUGCUCGUUUAUGUGUUCAAGGAAAUCGUCGAUCUUCAAUCGCGCUAUCAUUGGUUAAAUUGAUCGCACUCGCAAAUCAGCACGAAAGAAUCCGAUAUGCAAUGUUUCUGGACUGCGAGUUCAAAACAAUGCGAUUAACACGAGAACUAUAUCUUGUUAUGAAAAAUGAUCAAAAUACCCAAAGACGUUGAUCUUGUUUUUUUCGAUGCGAUAUACGGGAUCGAAGUUUUCCGGGAUAUUUUUAAAUCGUAUAUUUGUCCUUUGUUCCAUAAUUUUGAAAGGUUCGUUUUUUGGUACGUUGCUCUUAUAGGUUAUGUUUUUCCCGGGCAUUUGGUUUGGUCGUUUUACCUGGCACAGCUCUGGCUCCCAUCCGAGAAGAAAAUGACAUGAGAGCGAUCCCGACGAGCGUGCAAUCCAACAGGGGCUUUGUCAGACUCGAGUAAAGAUGGGCCACGGAACUGGCCAAUUCUGAAAGAUCGUCAGUCAGUCUUUGUUCCGCACCUCCGAGUCUCGUAUCCAGAGCAGAUACUCUGUAGUACGUCUGUUGACUCAGAUACAUCUUGUACGCGUAUUUAACUAGUCUUUCUCUAAAAAAUAAAAAUGAAAACAAAAAGGAAACGAUAAGUGGAAAAUAAUUUGAAAAAAAAUGAAUUAAAAGACAAACUACCGGGAGAUUCUGAGCUUUGAAAAAAAUCGUUCGAAACGGCUUUCGAUUCGGAACAAUGGCGAGGAACAUUUUGAAGAAGGCUACCUCGCCUCUCAGAACCGUUCUCCAGACUGCAAACGACUUUCAAACUAUUGUCUCACGAUUACGCUUCAUUCGGGGCUCCUGUCGUCGGGUCAAGAGGGCAUUCUCGUUGCAGUACCGAUGGGAUAAGCGGGC